UACGUAGGGUGCGAGCGUUGUCCGGAAUUAUUGGGCGUAAAGAGCUCGUAGGCGGCCUGUCGCGUCGGAUGUGAAAGCCCGGGGCUUAACCCCCGGGUCUGCAUUCGAUACGGGGCAGGCUAGAGUGUGGUAGGGGAGAUCGGAAUUCCUGGUGUAGCGGUGAAAUGCGCAGAUAUCAGGAGAACACCCGUGCGGAAGGCGGUCUCUGGGACGGACUGACGCUGAGACGACGAAGCGUGGGGAGCGAACAGGAUUAGAACCUACCCGAG
rnacentral:rRNA from 1 species